rnacentral:sRNA from 1 species
UAACUUAUUUCUUUAAAUCACACACAUUCCGACACAUGUUCCGGGGUGCCUCAACAACACAGAUAACGGCUGAAAAGUGGUUAGUUGUUAGGGGUCGGAUUCAUGGGGGAUGUGGAGGCCUAAC